rnacentral:rRNA from 1 species
ACCCUUUAAUGUUUGAUGUUCUAACGUGGACCCGUGAUCCGGGUUGCGGACAGUGUCUGGUGGGUAGUUUGACUGGGGCGGUCUCCUCCUAAAGAGUAACGGAGGAGCACGAAGGUUGGCUAAUCCUGGUCGGACAUCAGGAGGUUAGUGCAAUGGCAUAAGCCAGCUUGACUGCGAGCGUGACGGCGCGAGCAGGUGCGAAAGCAGGUCAUAGUGAUCCGGUGGUUCUGAAUGGAAGGGCCAUCGCUCAACGGAUAAAAGGUACUCCGGGGAUAACAGGCUGAUACCGCCCAAGAGUUCAUAUCGACGGCGGUGUUUGGCACCUCGAUGUCGGCUCAUCACAUCCUGGGGCUGAAGUAGGUCCCAAGGGUAUGGCUGUUCGCCAUUUAAAGUGGUACGCGAGCUGGGUUUAGAACGUCGUGAGACAGUUCGGUCCCUAUCUGCCGUGGGCGCUGGAGAACUGAGGGGGGCUGCUCCUAGUACGAGAGGACCGGAGUGGACGCAUCACUGGUGUUCGGGUUGUCAUGCCAAUGGCACUGCCCGGUAGCUAAAUGCGGAAGAGAUAAGUGCUGAAAGCAUCUAAGCACGAAACUUGCCCCGAGAUGAGUUC